AGAAAUGAAGAAUUUUAUUGAUUCGUCUCAGUUACAGUGAGAAGAACCAGCUAGUUGGCGUUUUUA
rnacentral:tRNA from 1 species